rnacentral:rRNA from 1 species
CCUACGGGAGGCAGCAGUGAGGAAUAUUGGUCAAUGGACGAGAGUCUGAACCAGCCAAGUAGCGUGAAGGAUGACUGCCCUAUGGGUUGUAAACUUCUUUUAUAUGGGAAUAAAAUGUUCCACGUGUGGGAUUUUGUAUGUACCAUAUGAAUAAGGAUCGGCUAACUCCGUGCCAGCAGCCGCGGUAAUACGGAGGAUCCUAGCGUUAUCCGGAUUUAUUGGGUUUAAAGGGAGCGUAGGUGGAUUGUUAAGUCAGUUGUGAAAGUUUGCGGCUCAACCGUAAAAUUGCAGUUGAAACUGGCAGUCUUGAGUACAGUAGAGGUGGGCGGAAUUCGUGGUGUAGCGGUGAAAUGCUUAGAUAUCACGAAGAACUCCGAUUGCGAAGGCAGUUCACUGGACUGCAACUGACACUGAGGCUCGAAAGUGUGGGUAUCAAACAGGAUUAGAUACCCCAGUAGUC